GAAAGUAAUGUCUUUCUUUAUGCUUAUUCUGCAACUUUUUAUUGUAAAUGAAAUUUCCUUCUUUGCUUAAUUACUUGUGUUUGUGAAUAAGCAUAAAGAAAGACAUUACUUUCNAACAAGACUCCAAGACUAGUAGAUUUCAAAGGUAUCAAACCACACACACCAGGCAAUUUGCUCAAGUAAUAGAGGUGCACAUUAUGAUCACAGAACACAAUGACAUGAUAUGUUCAGAAAGAAAGUGGAGUUUAGUUAAAAGGCCAUCCUGAAUAACCCAUCUGGUGGUUCUCUUCAUGUACGGUUGGUGAACUGCUUCCCGUGGUCCCAUCAUGGUUAGAGCUAGAACUAGAUGAGCGGAAUGGCCAAAAAUAAGAGAAUGGAUUCCGUCUUCCUUCCCUGCUAUUCUCUCUUCUGCUAUAAUUGUUGUUUCUACUUUGAGAACUUGAGCUCUGGUAACUGUGGCCACUACUUGAUCCUUGUGGUGGUAGCUCCUGACGACAAACAGGGCAUGA
rnacentral:misc_RNA from 1 species